UGGAAAAUAUGGUGAUGGUAAUUGUGAUUCAGAUUGUAAUGUAGUCUGUGCCAAUAGCCUUUGUGAUCCAGUGACCGGAGGAUGUGCAUACUGUGCAGUUGGAUAUUACAGGCCUGGAUCUUCAUGUGUAGACUGCCCAUCUAAUUGUUAUGAUAACAUAUGUAAUGUAGAAUCCGGUGUCUGUUCUGACUGUGAGGAGGGAUUCUUCAGCUCGUCCUGUGAUGACUGCUCUGUUGGUUGUAUCAAUCGUGUCUGUGACAAAAUAUCUGGACAUU